rfam:Gossypium raimondii Chr11_contig_510, whole genome shotgun sequence.
UGUUAAAAAUUUCAUUCAUUUGUAUUGUUAAAACUAGUGUGACUGAAGAAUAACCAGACAAUGACAUGUGACAUGUCAUGUGUAUGUCAUGCUGACGUACGAGAACCAGUUUGUAACAGUAAAAAUGGAUGAAAUUUUUAAUA